GUAACUAACCUGCACCAUGUGCACAUGUACCCUGAAACUUAAAGUAUAAUUAAAAAAAAGAAAGAAAAAGGAAUAUAAUCAAGGCAAUGGUUAAAAAAAAACCAUAGAAUCUUUAAAAUUCCGAGUCUACCAUGAUGCUCAGGGUGGGUUGGGGGAUGAAAGGGUGGAGGGAGAAAAAUUCCUUUUUGAGGAAAACUCUGGUUAGUAAAAGUAGAAAGAAUAACAGAAUUUGGAAAUCAACAUUUUGCAAUCUCCAAUGAUUGAUUUAGAUAAGGAUCAUAACUGGAUGCUAUGUCCUCUAGGUGAAAGUUACACUUGCAAAGUGUGGCUGACACCAUCUGAACCAAGUGAACAAAUUUAACAUCAUCAAUAGUGGGACAAUCUGACAUCAUGUGCCUAGUAAGAUGAUGCAGUGCGUUAUACAUGGAUUAUUUAUGAAAUGUCCUGCUAGAAGUGUUUAUCCUGAAUCUAAUCGGGCUCCAGCUUAAUUUAAAGUCUGUGAAAGUUUUAAAAUAUAUUACCCAUUUCCCUCCAGGAAGAUGACCUCAAUUUAUACUCUCAGCAGCGUAGUAGACUGCCAGUUUCCCUGAACAAGUUAAUUGAGACCACAAGGACACAAAAAUACACAGGCAGUAUGUGAGAUAUUCAUCAAGACAACAACUGAUCUGGAUUCUUCUCAAGACAAUGUCAUGGGUAAAAAAAGCAAGAGAAUUCUUCUACAUUACAGGAGACGUGCUUGAAUCCUGGACUUUUAAAAAAGCUAUAAAAGACAUUUUGGGACCAUUGAGGAAUUUUUAGUGUGGAAUGGUUAUAAAUGAUAUUUAGGAAUUAUGAAUGUCUUCGAUGGUCAUAAUAUUCUCCUAUUAUGGCUAUAUGGGAGAAUGUCCUCAUGUUUUAAAGAUGAAUGCUGAAGAAUUUAAAAAAGAAAAUAAUGUCUGCAACUUACUUUCAAAUGAUUUAGAAAAAUCAUGUAAAUAGGGCAACAAGUGAAAAUACCCCAAAUUCUUCUGACUCUGAAGGUCCACAAAACAUACUUGAAAAACCACUGGGCUAGGCAAUGAACAAUCUGGAUUCCCCAAAUGAGUACUUAUGAUGGUGACUGGGUGGAGGUCCUGGAAACCUGAAAUCUAUCCAUUUGUGUAUGUCUCUCCCAGUGCCUCAACACCUGCAGUUCCUUAAGGCAGCUUCAUGAAUGAACUUGUUCCCACUGGUUCUUUUUCUGACAUGUGAAAGCUUUUAUAAUCUCAGAUCCUGUCUCUUUAUCUCAUAAUAAAGAAAGCUCCCCUCAGCAUCUAUGUCAACACAGACAAAGGGUUCAAUCUGCCAAAAUGCCUCAGCAAAGUCUGGCUCUUGACUACAACUGGGGUGUGGGAUGAGGUGGCUUUUUCCUCUGAUUUCACAACCUCUAAAGGAAAUGGAUUUUUAUUGUUUCUUUUUCUUCUGUAAGCUAAAGGAACUAGGGCUCUAGAGUGGCUUCUACCACUAAGUUCCAUCCUUCAACACCAACUGACUCAAGAAAAAACAGUGCAAUAAGAGACCACAAACAACUUCCUGAAACACGAAAAUAAAAUGCAUAUAUUUUCACCUGAAUAUUUAGAACAAUAGGACUUAGCAUUAGAAGACUGGGUUCAAAUCCUGAUUCUGCUUUUAACAAGUAGUGGACGGGUUAUGGACAACUAAUAUCCUAAGCCUCAGUUAUUUCACCUGAAAAUUGGGGUGCUAAUGAUAAUAAGUGCUUUGUAAUAUGAAAAUGCUAUAAAAUGAUCCUAGCUAGUCUAGU
rnacentral:lncRNA from 10 species